rnacentral:tRNA from 1 species
ACUCUGGACUCUGAAUCCAGCAAUCCGAGUUCAAGUCUCGGUAGAACCU